GCCGUUAGUAUGAAUUUAAUACAGUUUCGAACGAGUAAAUUAAUGCUAGUGUACACACGCAAAAAUCUCGCAUCUCGGUAACAAGUUUGUCAACAAGCCGUCAACAAGUUGUCUUCGCACUGCUUGUCACAAAUUGUCAACAAGUUUCAAAACAAGCAGUUAACAAUUUGUAACAACCUUUUUGAUAUUAUCAGACUUGUUACAGGGUUGUUCCAACAAGUCCGAUACAGUCAUGAUAUAACAAUAUUGUUACAACCUUGUGUCGUCAACCUUGUAAGUCUUGUAACAUAUUCCUGUUCAUCAUGACUGUAUCAGACUUUGUUAGAACAAGCUUGUAACAAGUCUGAUAAUGCCAUCAAGCUUGUUACAAG